ACCUGUUGUAGCUCAGUGGUAGAGCAUAUGUCGCAGGUUCGAUUCCUGCCUGCAGGUG
rnacentral:tRNA from 1 species